UCGGCCUGGGGCAGGGAGGGCCCAGGACUCACCCUGGGGUGGGCGCGCUCCGGGAGCUCUAGGGGAGGCCCACGUGGGGCAGGCCCACCUGGGAGAGUGGAAUUCCACCCGGGAGAGGGCCACCUGGGAGAGUGGAAUUCCACCCGGGAGAGGGCCACCAUACCUACAUGGGAUCAAAUAAGCUGCCUUGACAUAGUUUUGAAACCUGAACAUCAUGUUUCUCAGGCUCCUGGAACCUCACCCCGUCUUGAAGUUGGCAUCCUCAGAUCCCUGCUAGAUGACCAUAUUCCUUCCCAAAGAUAGUUCUCAAAUGGGCCUUUGUUGGUAAAGACACUCCACACAUGGGUACAGCCUUUGUUGGUAAAGACACUCUACACAUGGGUACAGCCUCGAUAAAAUAUUUUACCCCGCAGAGAAAGUAUCUCCAAACAUAAUGUAGUAAGAGAUUUCCCAAAUCCAAGGUCAUUAAAUAUUAAAACUCAGUUUUCUAGUUACACAUUAGCCUUAAAUAUCAAGAAUGUAACACAAAAUUAUCACAGAACGCAGGAAAAGGAGAUGAGAAAGACCGCAGAUGGGCAGCUAGGUGGGUCAGGGCACAGGGCAGGGUCCGAAAGGGUCCCCAGCACAGAAGCAUCUGUCUCCGUGGAGUGGGGGGCACCACCCUCCUGGCACGUGGAUGUGUGCAGCAACCCGGCACUGCUACGGACCAGUAGUCCAGGCAUUCUUAUGGAGGCUGCAUCAGAUCAUGGUGGAUGAUGCCUGGAGGAGGGUGGGUGCAGGGUUGAGAGCUGCAGGUGCUAAUCCUGGCUGGUCUCUCUGGUGACCGGCCCCCCUCCAGGAGCCACCAAGCCUUACCUCAUUUGAACAAAAGAAUCUGCUGCCAUCACCCAGGAAAUUCCGAGGGUUUUUGGAGCCCUGUGCUGGGUCUUGGGAGCAGAGACUGGAUCUAUUCAUUUCACAUUUUGUCGCCCCAUCUUGCCAGGUAGAGACGGUGUCUGUGUCUGGGUUCCCAGGCUGGACCCCAGAUGCCUGCUGUAUAUGUGUCCGCUGGCAUUGCCAUCACGGGGCACUCUCUCAGGCGGCUUAAACAGCAGGACAGGAGGCGGGAAGGCCAAGAUGAAGGUGCGGCCGGAGCUGGUUCCUCGGAAGGCACCCCCCGUGGCCGUGAAAGCCAGGAAGAUGGUUGAAUUGUUGUUUAAAACAUCUCGGAAUAUAUACAUGAGCAGAACAGAAGUUAAAGACAGAGUUUCUUCCAGCACAAGCGAGGCCAGCACCUUUCCCGAUGGGACAGCCCUGAAUGUGGAGCAUAUCAGCAACCCGGCAGCCAAGUUCCGCAGUUUCCAGGACGAUGCCAGAGGGUGGUGUGCACACGCCCCUGAAAAGACGGAGAGGAGAACAUCCGCCGUCAUCCCCAACAGCCCAGAACUCAGCACCCCAGGCUGUCAUCCCCAACAGGCCUGCACCCAGCACUCAGGAUCCCAGGAUCCCAGCACCCCAGCAUCUCAGCAUCCCAGCCUCCAUGUAUCCCAGCACCCCAGCACCCCAGCA